GUCUACGGCCAUGCCACCCUGAACAAGCCCGAUCCCUUCUGAUAUCGGAAGCUAAGCAGGGUCGGGCCUGGUUAGCACUUGGUUGGGAGACCACCUAGAAAGACCAGGUGCUGUAGGCG
rnacentral:rRNA from 1 species